rnacentral:lncRNA from 1 species
AUGACUUCAUAUCUUGUGACCUAAUUCAGUCGGAGAGUUGACAUUCCGAAAAUACAUAUUCGGACGAUAUUUAAUCAAAAGGGCAUCAGAACCCCCAUAAUACUCUCGUACUCUCUCACUUUCAUCUUUUAAAAUCUCUCAACUCACAUUAACUCAAAGUCAUUCAAAGACACUUCCAAAUCUUCUUCCAUUAACAUCAAAAUAGUUGAAGAGUUCAUUCAACAUCAAACUCCA